GGAAUCAAUUCCUGAAGAUGUACUGCCACAUAAAAACAGAGAUUGGGUUUUGGCAGCGAUCAAUGCCGGAAAUGUCAAGGCUGGAGUACCAUAUUGAAGUCAUUGUCGUGUUCUUACUGUAUUUUGAAGGCUGGAUUGGAAAGCCACUGACCCUCUGCCCCUUCCUCUUCUCUGAUUUUGCCCAUAUUCCAAGAGGUUAAAUCUAGUUGUAUGUUGGAAAAAGUGACUGCAGAGACAUGAAAUACAGAGGUAAACGUUUAAAGAGUGAAUGAUCAGAUGACCUAGAAAGCCACCUGAUGGCCUCCAGAGUUGUUUGAAGCAAAGUCAGUGCUAAGCUAAGGCUAGAGGAGAACUGUGGCCAAAUUCUUCGGAAAGAAGUAAAGUUGGUUUUGCACAGCGGAAAUACAUUGUAAGGAUUUGCAAAGAAAAAAAAACAAAUUAAUAAAGGAAAAGAGAAGAGGAAGAGUGGUCUCGUAGAACAUUACUUUUAAUUAAUGUAAUUUAUGUUAAGAAAUCAUUAAUAACUGUUCUUUAAAUGAUAUAAUUUGUGUAAAUUUUCCAAAUAAACGUUUGCAUGUAAUAAAAACCAGCAAUUGAAAUUG